CCUAAAUAUUAUUAUAUAAGUGGGAAAUGAAUUUUUGGUCUUCAUUUUCCCCAUUUGGCCGAAACAAGGGAGAGGAAAAGGAGGGAAUUUUCUUCAUCUUCAACCUCAAGUCUUAAGAACUCCAUAACCAAUCCUUCUUCACAUCUUCAUCAAAGAUUCGGGUUUCAAGAAGGAAUUGGGGAAAAUCCACCAAAAGCAUCUUUAAGACAAUAUUAACUACUUUGGAGGUAAGGAGUUCCCUUAAGUUGGACUAGAUUGCUCAAGUUUGAAUAAUUGAUGGUUGAUUGUGACUUGGUGAAAUUUAGUAAAAAUGUUUAGUAUAAGUUGCCUGUAUAUGGUGUAUAUAAGGUGUAUGUAUAAAUUAUGCUUAUGCCAUAUAGGCUUAUACUUGUGAAAAUAUUGAAAUAAAAUCAAGCUAGUUUCUGGCAGUGA